AUGGAUACAUGUGUGUGGGCACGCAUAGGUGUUCAUGUUGUGGAUGUAAGUGUGUGGAGCACCCAUAGGUGUUUGUGUCAUGGAUAUACGUGUGUGGGGCACCCGUGGGUGCUCGUGUUGCAGUUACAGAUGUGUGGGGCACCCGUGGGUGUUCACGUCAUGGAUGUACGCACGUGGACACCUGUGGGUGUUUGUGUCAUGGAUACACGCGUGUGGAGCACCCAUGGGUGUUCGCACGGUGGAUACACACAUGUGGGGCACCCAUGGGUGUUCGUGUUGUGGAUACACAUGUGUGGGGCACCCAUGGGUGCUCGUGUCAUGGAUACAUGCAUGUGGGGCACCCAUGGGUGUUCGUGUCAUGGAUACAUGCGUGUGGGGCACCCAUGGGUGUUCGCACGGUGGAUACACACGUGUGGGGCACCCAUGGGUGUUUGCACAGUGGAUACACGUGUGUGGGGCACCCAUGGGUGCUCACGCCAUGGCUACACGCGUGUGGGGCACCCAUGGGUGUUCGUGUUGUGGAUACACAUGUGUGGGGCACCCAUGGGUGCUCGUGUCAUGGAUACAUGCAUGUGGGGCACCCAUGGGUGUUCGUGUCAUGGAUACAUGCGUGUGGGGCACCCAUGGGUGUUCGCACGGUGGAUACACACGUGUGGGGCACCCAUGGGUGAUCGUGUCAUGGAUACAUGCGUGUGGGGCACCCAUGGGUGUUCGCACAGUGGAUACACAUGUGUGGGGCACCCAUGGGUGUUUGUGUUGUGCAUACACAUGUGUGGGGCACCCAUGGGUGUUUGUGUCAUGGAUACACGCAUGUGGGGCACCCAUGGGUGUUCAUGCCAUGGAUACAUGCAUGUGGAGCACCCAUGGGUGUUCGUGUUGUGGAUACACACAUGUGGGGCACCCAUGGGUGUUCGCACAGUGGAUACACGUGUGGGGCACCCAUGGGUGUUUGUGUCAUGGAUACACGCGUGUGGGGCACCCAUGGGUGUUCACACAGUGGAUACACGCAUGUGGGGCACCCAUGGGUGUUCAUGCCAUGGAUACAUGCGUGUGGGGCACCCAUGGGUGCUCAUGUUGUGGAUACACACAUGUGGGGCACCCAUGGGUGUUCGCACAGUGGAUACACGUGUGGGGCACCCAUGGGUGUUUGUGUCAUGGAUACACGCGUGUGGGGCACCCAUGGGUGUUCACACAGUGGAUACACGUGUGUGGGGCACCCAUGGGUGCUCAUGCCAUGGCUACACGCGUGUGCACCAACACGGCCCCCCCCACGCAUGCGCANNNNNNNNNNCCCAUGGGUGUUCGCACGGUGGAUACACACGUGUGGGGCACCCAUGGGUGAUCGUGUCAUGGAUACAUGCGUGUGGGGCACCCAUGGGUGUUCGCACAGUGGAUACACAUGUGUGGGGCACCCAUGGGUGUUUGUGUUGUGCAUACACAUGUGUGGGGCACCCAUGGGUGUUUGUGUCAUGGAUACACGCAUGUGGGGCACCCAUGGGUGUUCAUGCCAUGGAUACAUGCAUGUGGAGCACCCAUGGGUGUUCGUGUUGUGGAUACACACAUGUGGGGCACCCAUGGGUGUUCGCACAGUGGAUACACGUGUGGGGCACCCAUGGGUGUUUGUGUCAUGGAUACACGCGUGUGGGGCACCCAUGGGUGUUCACACAGUGGAUACACGUGUGUGGGGCACCCAUGGGUGCUCAUGCCAUGGCUACACGCGUGUGCACCAACACGGCCCCCCCCACGCAUGCGCACCCCCACGGGGCACCCCACGCACCCCACACACGUGUGUGCUGUCGGGCAGGGGGGGGCCAAGCACGUUUGCACACCCACGGGGGGGUGCGAGGAGGGGGGGGCACCUUUGGGUGCUGACCGCACGCGUGGGUGCUCGCACGGGGUCCGUGCCAGCGCAUGCGCCUCUAUGGGUGCUCCCCACCCCGGGGUGCAAAGAGAAAGGGGGGGGGGGGUUCUCCGUGCGCACGUGCGCGCACGCUCACCUGGGUGCCCCCCCCCCACCCGUGGGAUCCCUGCCCACCCAUGGGUGCCCCCCCCGUGGGAUCCCUGCACCCCUUUGCGCGUCGCUGCCCGCGGNNNNNNNNNNGCCGGGCGGGGCCGCCGAAC
rnacentral:lncRNA from 1 species